UGUCACGCCCCUUCACCAGAGAAGAGUCCAACUGUGACAUCACUGUGGGAGGGAAAUCUGAACCAGUCGUUCAGAGCCAGGCUGUAGGAGUUCAGCCAGCUCACAAAAAACCUACAGGGUGGUCUGUUUUCACAGAUUGUGGGUCGGCAGGCUCCACAGUUACACACAUUUAUGUGCGCGCACACUGAAAAGGUAUUAAAAAAAAAAAACUUUCUUCAUGGAGCGGAGUUCCAUUGUUGGAAAAUCGCUGUUGUGCGCAACCAGAACGUCACUCAGUCGAGCGCACGCCUCCGCCAAGGACCAGCUGUCCCCUUGGAUUCAAUCAAGCCGCACCGAAUUGCAGACACUUACAGAUAUCGGUCACCUUAAUAUGAUUAAAAGUACAUGCAAAAUACGUAGACAGGAGCAUCUGACAUCAUUUCUCAAACCAAAUUGGUGAAAUUGAACUAUUGGAAUUGAACUCCUCGUUCGCCUGAGAUCAACAGGUGAAGGGUCCCGAGCUCGGCCCGGACCUCGUCGUGACGGCAGAUUGAACAGCGAGAGGUCGCCGUCAAGACGCACAUGCUUAUGUCUUACGUCGCAUACUGUUUUAAUCAUUUGUAGAAGAUUCUUUAGGCGUAAUUGUGAUGUUAUUUCAUAAAACUCAUCUCCAUACAAUUCAUAAUCUAAAAAGCAACUCAUCAAAGAUAUGCACAUUGCAAAAAAAGAGCAAUUAGGUUGAUGAAUUGUGCAGUGCAUCGAGAUCACACCAAUACCUUAUUUUUAAAGACUCAAAUUUGUGGACCUCGUUAAAUUCAACACUGCACAAGUUAUGUUUAAAGUUAUGAACAACUCUUUGCCAGGAAACCUACAAAAUAAAUUAUGACUUAAGAGGGAAGUUUAAUUUAAAACAACCUACAGUCCGAACUAUUCUCAAAAGCAUGUGCACCUCAGUUUGUUCUCUUUGGAACGACCUUGAUGAGGAAACAAUAAAUUUGCAAUAAUAUGAAAGUUUUCAAUGAAUACUCAUCGACAAGUAUGACAUGGGAGAAGCUGUAACGAUCGAAUGGGGCAGGACCAGAUGCGCUUCUGCUUCUUCCUGUCCCUUCUCGAACCGCCUGUACAAGAUUUACGUUGACUGGAGACUUAUGUCAUUGAAAAUAUUCUGUUUUUCUACUUUGUAAUCGAUACAUAUUGAUCGGCCCGCGAUACAUAACGAUCAAAUCAAAUGAUAUGAAGGUUUUUCCAAAUAAGCACUUUCACGGAAUGCGCAGAUCAGAGAGGGGAACGCUGAAUUCAUCCAAUCCUCAUCCUCUCAAACAAUACAGACGUCCUAAAAUGAGCCGCUAUGAUUUAAACCUCUUUUUUUUUCUGUGGUUAAGAAUUUCAUCUGAUUUCAGGAAAUUAAAAUAGACUGUAUCCUCUGUUUUAUGUUUUCUCUUUUAUGUCAACGCCUAAGAGGUACACCAAUCAGCCACAACAUAAAAAACACGUUUUAAAUUUGGCUGAUUAAUAGUCAGUUUGUUUCCAAUUACUCAGUUGAUGACAGGGCCGGACCAAGGCAUAAGUGAACUGAGCGACUGCCUGGGGCCCCCUGGCCCCCCCAUGCCUAAUGUAACUUUAGGCACGGUUCAGCCACACUCAGUCAGACAGUUGAUGGAAAAGGCAGUAGCGUAUAAAGUUAAAGAUAAAGGCGAUGUUAUUCGAGGCCGCUCCGUUUGACCGGAAUGGGUUUGUAAGAGGCCGUGGUCUUGGCUCUCUGAGACAUCGUCUGCUCGUACACUGCCAAUGCAUAUUUUUUUUUGGUUGCUGUGUUUAACUGAGGGUUGGGUUGUUGGUCUGUUUUUUUAUGUAGAUGUAUGUAUGUAUAUACUGUAUAUAUCUCUUAUGUUACGGCAUUUUCUUAUUUUAUAAUUUUUUCUAUUUAACGUAUUUUUUUUAAUUCAGUUGUUUUUGCCCCCCCUCCACAAAUCUUGAAAUGAGAAUGGUUUCUCUAUUAGUUUCGUAUAUUUACCAACUAUCUGUACAUGUCGCAUUUGUAUACCCACUAAUAAUUGUCAUAUUUAUAUUCUUGCUAUGUGCAUAUUGACUCCGCUCUCAAUGAAAAAAAAAUGUCAACACAGAAUAAAAUAUAAUAAUAAUUAUAACUUAA